rnacentral:rRNA from 1 species
CUCCUGGAAACGGGUGGUAAUGCCGGAUGCUCCGCCCCCUCGCAUGGGGGGUCGGGAAGGCUUUUGCGGAAUGGGAUGGGGUCGCGUCCUAUCAGCUUGUUGGCGGGGCGACGGCCCACCAAGGCUUCGACGGGUAGCCGGCCUGAGAGGGCGACCGGCCACAUUGGGACUGAGAUACGGCCCAGACUCCUACGGGAGGCAGCAGUGGGGAAUAUUGCACAAUGGGGGGAACCCUGAUGCAGCGACGCCGCGUGCGGGAUGGGGGCCUUCGGGUCGUGAACCGCUUUUGAUUGGGAGCAAGCGUGAGUGAGUGUACCUUUCGAAUAAGCACCGGCUAACUACGUGCCAGCAGCCGCGGUAAUACGUAGGGUGCAAGCGUUGUCCGGAAUCAUUGGGCGUAAAGGGCUCGUAGGCGGUUCGUCGCGUCCGGUGUGAAAGCCCAUCGCUUAACGGUGGGUCUGCGCCGGGUACGGGCGGGCUUGAGUGCGGCAGGGGAGGCUGGAAUUCCCGGUGUAACGGUGGAAUGUGUAGAUAUCGGGAAGAACACC